rnacentral:rRNA from 1 species
AUGGACGACGUCGAGAGCCAGGCACCCCAUGGAGAUCAGGAGAUCGAGGCCGCUAGACAUUGCCCGUGUUGGCUCAUCAUGGUGGUCGCGGUGCUCGUCGGUGCCUUCAUCGCCGCAGCCGUUUCCAUCCCCUUCUGCAUGAUCCACGCCCAUUACACCAUCGCGGUAGAUUCUGUCUCAGCCACUGACCCGACGACAGGCCUCUCGUUUAACCUCACCCUCGGCGUCGCCUCCCAAAGUUACGGGUCAGAGGCGUGCAUUAUGCCCGGCACAUACAUGGAGGUGACCUACCGUGGCGUCCAGAUCGCCGCCAGCGCGCCCGAAAGACGGCAGAUCUGUGCUAAGCCACGGAAGGCGAUGGAGCAGCAUGUCCUCGCAAUGGCCACCGCAGUUCCCGUAGGGAACGUGUUGGACAGUCUUGCGGCGGACUUGAAGAGAGAGGUGGCGGCGUUCGAUGUCACAUUGCACCUACCAGCAGGGUCAUAUGACUUGAGGAAUGCAUGGGUGUCAGGCUGCAACGACCCAAACGAUAAUCCCAAGAUGGAUGACGUCGAGAGCCAGAGACCCCAUGGACAUCACGAGGUCAGGGCCGCCAUAGAUUGCCCGUUUUGGUGCAUCUUGGUCUUCUCGGUGCUUGUCACCGCCAUCUUCGUCGCAUGCAUAACCAUCCCGAUCGAGUACUAUAGGAUGCACGUCAUGUACUCUGUCGCCAUAGAUUCCAUCUCUGGCGCCGACCCCAAGACCGGUCUCUCCUUCAACAUCACCCUCGGUGUCGCCUCGGGGAGCUACGGAUCAGAGGCGUGCAUCUACCCUGGCACGGCGGACAUGAAGAAGGAGGAGUUGGCGGUGUUUGACUUCAUAUUGCACGUCCCGGCCGGGUCGUAUGGUGGGGAGUCGGCGUACGUAUGGGUUUCAGACCGCAAGGGCGUGCGGGUCCGCUACGCCAAACUCAUCCAAACCCCCAACGAAAACCGCAAGUACAAGGAGAUGGACGACGCGGAGAGCCAGACACCCCAUGGAGAUCCGGAGACCAAUGCCGCCAGACGCUACCCGUGUUGGCUCAUCGUGGUGAUGGGGGUGCUCGCCGGUGCCUUCAUCACCUUAUGCUUUUUCAUGCCCUACCUUAGGAUCCAUGCCCGUUACACCGUGGCGGCAGAUUCUGUCUCCAGCACCGACUCCAACACAGGCCUCUCGUUCAACCUCACCCUCGGCGUCGCCUCCCAAAGUUACGUGUCAGACGCGUGCAUUAAGCCCGGUACAUACAUGGAGGUGACCUACCGUGGCGUCCAGAUCGCGGCCAGCGUGCCCGAAACACGGUUCAUCUGUGUUAAGCCAUGGAAGAAGAAGGAUGAGAAGGUCCUCGCAAUGACCACCACGGUUCUUGGAGGGAAUGUGUUGGAUAGUCUUGUGGCGGAGAUGAAAAGAGGCGUGGCGGUGUUCGAUGUCAGAUUGCACCUACCAGCAGGGUCGUAUGACAUGAUGCCUGCGUGGGUGUCAGGCUGCAAGGGUAUGCGGAUGGACGACGUCGAGAGCCAGGCACCCCAUGGAGACCGGGAGAUCAAGGCCGCUAGACACUACCCGUUUUGGCUCAUCAUGGUGGUCGGGCUGGUCGUCAUCGGCACAGUGAUGGCUUUAGGCGGUUUCCUCCAAUACGGGUACUAUGGUAUCAAUGCCCGUUACACCGUCGCGGUAGAUUCUGUCUCCGGCACCGACCCCAAGACAUGCCUCUCGUUCAACCUCACCCUCGGCAUCGCCUCCCAAAAUUACGGGUCAGAGGCAUGCAUUAACCCCGGCAGAUACAUGGAGGUGACCUACCGGGGCGCCCACCUGGCCGUCAGCGUGCCCGAAACACGACCGCUCUGCGCUAAGCCAAGGAAGGCAGUGGAGCAGCAUGUCCUCGCAAUGGCCACCACGGUUCCCGUAGGGAACGUGUUGGACGGUCUUGUGGCCGACAUGAAGAGAGGGGUGGCAGUGUUCGACGUCACAUUGCACCUACCAGUCGGAUCUUAUGGCAGGGCCAACGCAUGGGUGCCAGGCUGCAAGGGGAGUUCAAGUGGUGCUGCUAAUGGGGAAAGGAGGCUAUGGAAUAUUAUUUGGAAGGCUCAGGCUCCCGCUACGGAGAUCAUUAAGAUUAAUGUUGAUGCAAGUUAUGUGGAGGCUUUAAGGGCUGCAAGUGUGGGCGUCGUGGCCAAGAACCAUACUGGAAAAGUUAUCAUAUCGUCCUGGGAUUAUAUUGGGGUGUGCAAUAGCGCGGAAGAAGCGGAACUGAGAGCGACCCUUGCGGGGCUAUACAUUGGUAUUACUCUCCACAAGGCCAUCAUUUUAGAAACGGAUUGUUCUUUUGUGGCUUCUUUUCUUCGAAAUGAUCUUCUAGACAGGGUGGCGCACGAGAUUGCGAAGUUCAGCUUUGAUAACAGGUCCGAUGGUGUGCUCCUUAAUAGUGUUCCGCCCUGCGUGGCUGAUUUUGCUGCUUGCUCUACUACGGGCCUGCCUAUCCUUACUACUACGUCGCCAUCGACUCCGCCUCGGGCCUCCUCGACGGCCCGCGCGCCGGACCUCACCCUGAAUCCGGUGUUCAACCUCACCGUCCGCAUCACCUCGGCUAGCCCCGGUCAGGGCGUGUGCAUCGAGGCCGGCACGUACGUGGAGGUGUCCUACCGCUGCGUCAUGCUGGCCGCUAGCACCGCCACGUCGGAGACUCUCUGCACCGAGCCGGCCAAGUCAAGGGAGGUGCCCUUCAUCGCCAGGGGCGUCGGCGUGCGCGUGCCGGGGUACAUGAUCGACAACCUCGCCGGCGAUGUGCGCAACGGGGUGCAUGUGUUCGACGUCACGAUCAAACAGUCCGACGCCUUCUACGUCAAUCGUAAGGUGAAGUCGUGCGGGGGCAGGCGGGUCGGCGGGCACACUGCCGAUGAGUUGGAGAUCGCAUGCGAUGGUGUGUGGUUGUGCCCUGACCCGGACCACAGAAGGAUGCCUUCGCUCAACUCGCCCACAAAACACAUCUCUGCUCAAUCAAUUUUUAUGUAA